UGCAAGGCUAGUUGAUAUCCACGGGAUGC
rnacentral:piRNA from 1 species